GACGAACGCUGGCGGCGUGCUUAACACAUGCAAGUCGAGCGGUAAGGCCCUUUUGGGGGUACACGAGCGGCGAACGGGUGAGUAACACGUGGGUGACCUGCCUUCAGCUCUGGGAUAAGCUUGGGAAACUGGGUCUAAUACCGGAUGUGACUGUCUGCCGCAUGGUGGGUGGUGGAAAGUUCUCGGGCUUUGGUCUGGGUUCGGCUGGGGAUGGGCCUGCGGCCUAUCAGCUUGUUGGUGGGGUGAUGGCCUACCAAGGCGACGACGGGUAGCCGGCCUGAGAGGGCGACCGGCCACACUGGGACUGAGACACGGCCCAGACUCCUACGGGAGGCAGCAGUGGGGAAUAUUGCGCAAUGGGCGGAAGCCUGACGCAGCGACGCCGCGUGGGGGAUGACGGCCUUCGGGUUGUAAACCUCUUUCGCCAUCGACGAAGGUUCUGUGGUUGUGAGGCUGCAGGGUUGACGGUAGGUGGAGAAGAAGCACCGGCCAACUACGUGCCAGCAGCCGCGGUAAUACGUAGGGUGCGAGCGUUGUCCGGAAUUAUUGGGCGUAAAGAGCUCGUAGGCGGUGUGUCGCGUCGGCCGUGAAAACCUGCAGCUUAACUGUGGGCGUGCGGUCGAUACGGGCAUCACUGGAGUUCGGCAGGGGAGACUGGAAUUCCUGGUGUAGCGGUGAAAUGCGCAGAUAUCAGGAGGAACACCGGUGGCGAAGGCGGGUCUCUGGGCCGAUACUGACGCUGAGGAGCGAAAGCGUGGGGAGCGAACAGGAAUUAGAUACCCUGGUAGUCCACGCCGUAAACGGUGGGCGCUAGGUGUGGGGGCCAUUCCACGGUC
rnacentral:rRNA from 1 species